rnacentral:SRP_RNA from 1 species
GCCGGGCAUGAUGGCUCAUGCCUGUAAUCCCAGCUACUCAGGAGGCUGAGGCAGAAGAAUCGCUUGAACCCAGGAGGCAGAGGUUGCAGUGAGCUGAGAUUGUGCCACUGCACUCCAGCCUGGGCUACAGAGUGAGACUCUGUCUUAA